rnacentral:rRNA from 1 species
CCUACGUGAGGCAGCAGUAGGGAAUAUUGCUCAAUGGGGGAAACCCUGAAGCAGCGACGCCGCGUGGAGGAUGAAGGCUUUCGGAUUGUAAACUUCUUUUGGUAGAGAAGAUAAUGACGGUAUCUAACGAAUAAGCACCGGCUAACUCCGUGCCAGCAGCCGCGGUAAUACGGAGGGUGCAAGCGUUACCCGGAUUCACUGGGUGUAAAGAGCGCGUAGGCGGGAUAGCAAGUCAGAUGUGAAAUCCUAUGGCUAAACCGUAGAACUGCAUUUGAAACUGUUAGUCUAGAGUGUAGGAGAGGUAAGUGGAAUUCUUGGUGUAGCGGGGAAAUCCGUAGAUAUCAGGAGGAAUACUCAUUGCGAAGGCGACCUACUGGAACGUAACUGACGCUGAUGCGCGAAAGCGUGGGGAGCAAACAGGAUUAGAUACCCGAGUAGUC